CUAAUUCAUUAUGCAAAAGGUACAAGGGGUAAUCUUUGCUGUGUAGUGUUUUUAAUUUUUCUUUCAUCUUUCCCUUGCGGUACUUUCUCUAUAGCGCCAAGUUAAAUUUCUAUCUCCUAUACUUUUAAGGGUAACUAAAUGUUUUAUUUUAUUGUCUAGUGUUAAUUGAAUUUAUGGAGAACGAAAGAGCACACG